CCCGCCCGGAACUCAAGCGCCGAGGCCCAGCGGCUAGUCCCUCAGAGACUCCCGGGUACGUCGCUCUGGGCGCCCGGAGGACUGCGGUCUCGAUGGUUCUACAGACCCGCGCAGUGUCCGGAUUCCUCCCACCAGCCUUGGAGAGAUCGGCCCGUUCAAGAGGCACCCCUGAGAGCCAGGUCUGUAGACACGAGAGCCUCGUGUCGGGAACCCUGAGGGCAGGGGUCUGCAAGCCCUCGCGCGGGCCCCCCGGCCGUGGAGAACGCAAGGACAAACACGAAGGGUCCCCGACCUACCGACCCCCUCCUCCAGGACCCCGCGCGUAGACAGGUCUCCUCUCUUGCACGCGCGCGAUUACUGCACAGCAGAGGUGGGACCUAAGGUCAGCAGCUGAACAAAGAAGAGAGCGCGGGCCGGACGUUUUCCCUUAUUAGACAUGGCGGCGUUGGCCUCAGGGGGAUCUCUGCGCUUGUGCAGGCGCCUACAAGCUAGGGCAAGUACUGGAUAGCCGACAUCCGCCAGGCACGCUUCUAGGUCCGCUUCUGAAAGUGCGCAUGCGCUUGGGCUGCAUGCGUUUCGUCCAGCCCAAAACGCUCCUCUACAUCCUUCCUCCGGAUU